UUGGGAAUCUUGCACAAUGGGGGAAACCCUGAUGCAGCAAUGCCACGUGAGUGAUGAAGGCCUUCGGGUCGUAAAGCUCUUUCAGCGGGGAAGAAGGGUAACUUGACGGUACCCGCAGAAGAAGCACCGGCUAACUCCGUGCCAGCAGCCGCGGUAAUACGGAGGGUGCGAGCGUUGUUCGGAAUCAUUGGGCGUAAAGCGCGUGUAGGCGGUUUGUUAAGUCUGAUGUGAAAUCCCUGGGCUCAACCCAGGAACUGCAUCGGAUACUGGCGAACUAGAGGACAGGAGAGGAGAGUGGAAUUCCUGGUGGAGGGGUGAAAUCCGUAGAUAUCAGGAGGAACAUCGGUGGCGAAGGCGGCUCUCUGGCCUGUUUCUGACGCUCAGACGCGAAAGCGUGGGGAGCAAACAGG
rnacentral:rRNA from 1 species